UACGUAGGCAGCAAGCGUUGUUCGGAAUUACUGGGCGUAAAGAGUGUGUAGGCGGUGCUCUAAGUUCGGUGUGAAAUCUCCCGGCUCAACUGGGAGGGUGCGCCGGAAACUGGAGUGCUGGAGCGCGGGAGAGGAAAGCGGAAUUCCUGGUGUAGCGGUGAAAUGCGUAGAUAUCAGGAGGAACACCGGCGGUGUAGACGGCUUUCUGGACCGUAGCUGACGCCUGAGACACGAAAGACGUGGGUAGCAAACAGG
rnacentral:rRNA from 1 species